rnacentral:rRNA from 1 species
UGGCGGACGGGUGAGUAACGCGUGGGUAACCUGCCUCAUACAGGGGGAUAACAGUUAGAAAUGACUGCUAAUACCGCAUAAGCGCACGAGAUCGCAUGAUAAAGUGUGAAAAACUCCGGUGGUAUGAGAUGGACCCGCGUCUGAUUAGCCGGUUGGUGGGGUAACGGCCCACCAAGGCGACGAUCAGUAGCCGACCUGAGAGGGUGACCGGCCACAUUGGGACUGAGACACGGCCCAAACUCCUACGGAAGGCAGCAG